rnacentral:misc_RNA from 1 species
GAUGAAGAACGUAGCGAAAUGCGAUAAGUAGUGUGAAUUGCAGAAUUCAGUGAAACAUCGAAUCUUUGAACGCACAUUGCGCCCCUUGGUAUUCCAUGGGGCAUGCCUGUUCGAGCGUCAUUUGUACCUUCAAGCUUUGCUUGGUGUUGGGUGUUUGUCUCGCCUUUGCGUGUAGACUCGCCUUAAAAUAAUUGGCAGCCGGCGUAUUGAUUUCGGAGCGCAGUACAUCUCGCGCUUUGCACUCAUAACGACAGCGUCCAAAAGUACAUUUUACACUCUUGACCUCGGAUCAGGUAGGGAUACCCGCUGAACUUAAGCAUAUCAAUAAGCGGAGGA